rnacentral:SRP_RNA from 17 species
UGCAUUCCGAUGUGUGCUCGCUGCUACCCAGCGGUCUGCAGGUGUUCCCUGGCGUAAGCUGGGGAGUAUCAGCAGCGAAGACCUUAGCUCUGAGCGGAGGCUGGCAACAGAGCGCGCAAGCAUGGGUACCGCUUGCAGCAGCGAGAG